AGCAGCAGCAGCAGCAAGUUGGGUGCUUCUUUGAUUCAAAGGAAUUCUUUAGGACUAUCACAUAUUCCUGCCUUUCUUUUCUAGAAUCCUGUGAACCAAAGAGGACCAAGGUUAUUGUGACAGCAACGGAGAUGAUGAUGAUGAUAAUUGUGACGAGGUUCCGAUAUUGUUACUCCCUUCGUUUCUAAAUAUAAGUCCUUUUAGAGAUUUUGAUACGGACUACAUACAGAUGUAUAUGGACGCAUUUUAGAAUGUAGAUUCACUCAUUUCGCUCCGUAUGUAGUAUGUAUUGGAUAUACCAAUAUCCAGAGAGGUCCUUCCCUACGCCCUAAGGGUUCCCAGCGCCCAGCGGACCAACUGGUCGGAGGAGGCGGCCCCAUGGAGGUGGGAUCUGGAACCAGCGAGCUACCAAACCCUCCGUCUGUACCAUGAUGAUAGCCCUGUUUGGAUCCAUGGGUUCUCGUGGGGCCCACUGAAAAAUCACUUUUCUCUUCCCAUCAAAUGUAUUUAUUGUGAAUCUAACUCUGUCAUCCAAACACCUCUUUGGCUAGAGUAGCUAGAAACUAACUCCAACCUCUAGGUAAGUUAGAGUAUCCAAACACGGCCAAUGAUGGAGAUGAUGAUGCUGACGAGCUUCCAGGUAAAGCUCCGCCGCUGACGGUGGUGAUCCCUGGAGUACAAAACCAAAAUUCCACAAUCAGAACAUCCGUCGAUCACCACGUGGUCACAGGAGUAUUUGCAAAGAUUCUGACAGUGCCACCGCUCGGUUCCUCGCAUCGCUGGGUCUGUCCAUACCCCCUAAAGUUUCCCAGCACCCAACGGACCAACUGGUCGGAGGAGGCGGCCCUGCAGAGGUGAGAUCUGGAACCAGCGACCGACCAAACCGAGCGCUGCACUUAUACACACGCGCGCGCGCACACCGUGCAGGGGAGAGGGAAAGAGGUGGUGAGGGGUGGAGAUACCAGAUUGAAACAUGGAGGAAACGAAUUGGAGACGGCGGCUCAGAUCAACGGCUUGGCAUCGCCGGAACCCACGGGGACGGAAGCCGCGACGGACCCCCGCCACGCAAUCCCCAGAGGCCCCGCCACAGCGACGGCUACCCGAGCACGGGCCUCCAAGCCGGUGGCGGGGAGCAGACGGGAGCGCUGGCCCCGCGAGGCGGAGGGAUCCGAUGCUGACGCCGAUCGAGAGAAUGGGUGUGCGCCAAGGGCCGGGCCUCCUCGUCGCCGCCCUUUUUUCCGAGUGGCCGCGGUCUCUGGUGGUGCGGUCAUCGACCACGGCGGGCGGGGCGGACGUCCUCCGCCGCCGACGCACGCGACGGCCUCACACUUAAACUAAUGAUGAGUGAGCCCAUGAGAGAGUGCGGCGGCAAGGGUUUUGUCGAGCGGUUUGGAACGCGGUACCAUGUGUGCCUUCUCCACUUAAUCGAGCGGUUUGGGACGCGGUACCAUGUGUGCCUUCUCCACUUAUUUUUGAGACAGCAUGCCUUCUCCACAUAUCAAGUGAAGAGCACGUGUCAGGUGCAGAACACAUGUUGCUAUAUCUAAAUGGACAAAUGUUGUCACUGUUAUAAGCUUGCAAAGAAGAGUGCAAGACAGUGCGAUGCAAAACUAUAUGUACAAAGAAGGCAGCAACAGAAUAGAAUAUCCCCAAAGGCUUACUUAGCAAGGAAACAAGUUAAGACACUAAUAAAACACAGAUCCUCCGAAGUUCACCUACAUCCAGAAAAUGUAGUGGCGGCAGACAGAAUGGGAAAGCUUCAGAACAGACUAAAGAAACAAAACAAAAUGGCCGCUCAAAGGCUCAGAUUAACCCAGCAACUUAAUCACAGCAGUUAAAAAAUUGCUUAUGGAUACAGACAGUAACAUGUGACAUGCUGCCUCAGUCACUAUUUACAUGAACAGUCCAGCAUUCUCUCCAAAAAAGAUACAGCUGCAUUAUUAUUUGUAGCAUGUAAGAACAAAUAGCUGCAACUGGUAACUUGCGGAAAAAUAGAAGUGGUAGUAUGACAACUAAUUAAAACAAGCCAUUCAACCGAUAAUUUGCUGGGAGCAAGUCUUCCUAAUAUAACAAAGUGCAACUUACUCUUAUAACAGAUUGAAUUAAGGAGCAACAGUGACCAAAAAAGAUCAAGCAAAACUUAUGCAAUAGUAAAGGUAUAAGAGAAGAAAUCUUUAUACAAGACAGAUGUAAACACUGGAGCUUAUAUUGCAUAGUGGGCUCAGAUUCGCCUUUGCUCGAUCAUACAACCUACCCACAUCAUCUGCUAUCACCAGAUCAACCAGUUUAUACUGUGGAGCUGCCCUGGUUAUCACUCAAGAAGAAUGACCGUCCAAGGACAGAGCCAUCAGUAUCACAGGAUCAAAAUGGAUUCUAGAGACAAGAGGGAGAAUCCAACUUGAUACCCACAGGUGCCUCGAUUGCUCAAAGGCACACUAUUUCAGCCAUGGUCAAUCAUCAUCGCCCUAGCAAGAAUGGACUAGGCCCGGCCGGCUGUCGACAUGCCCGCGGACAUCUGCUGACGGAACCUUGGGGCUCAGCGCUAGACCAUUCUUGUCACACCUUGCACAUUGUUCUUGCAAUGGUGAAACUGCCCUGGUUAUCAUUCAUCAGAAAUGACCAUCCAAGGACAGAGCCACUAAAAUAAGCACAUGAUCAAAACGGCUCAAAGAAACAAGGGGGGAUCCAACUUCACACCCACAAGGGCCUCGAUUGCUCAGAGAGCGUGCUUAUAUCAUCCAUAAUCAAUCAUCAUAGCCCCGCACCAGCUUAGAGCAACUCUAGCGGACUCGCCAAAAUGGGAAGUCAUUCAGCACGGGACAGCUCAGCAACCACAAACUUGUUAAUCAUAAAGCCAUGCACCAUUCACAAACAAAAGGUGCGACAGCCAUAGGACCUCCUUGAUCCAAAGGAAGUUCGUAUGAACUUUGCAGUAGCUUGCACUACCAGCACCACCACCACCAGCAAGUUGGGGGCCUCUUUGAUUCAAAGGAAUUCUUUAGGACUAUUACAUAUUCCUGCCAUUCUUUUCUAGAAUCCUGUGAACCAAAGAGUACCAAGGUUAUUGUGACAGCAACGGAGAUGAUGAUGAUGAUGACGAGGUUCCAAUAUUGUUACUCCCUUCGUUUCUAAAUAUAAGUCCUUUUAGAGAUUUCAAUACGGACUACAUACGGAUGUAUAUAGACCCAUUUUAGAAUGUAGAUUC
rnacentral:lncRNA from 1 species